AUUGAACGCUGGCGGCAUGCUUUACACAUGCAAGUCGAGCGGUAACAGGCCUUCGGGUGCUGACGAGUGGCGAACGGGUGCGUAAUGCAUCGGAACGUACCCAGAGGUGGGGGAUAACGCAGCGAAAGCUGUGCUAAUACCGCAUGUGAUCUGAGGAUGAAAGCGGGGGACCGCGCAGCAAUGUUUGGCCUCGCGCCUUUGGAGCGGCCGAUGUCGGAUUAGCUAGUUGGUGGGGUAAAGGCCUACCAAGGCGACGAUCCGUAGCUGGUCUGAGAGGACGACCAGCCACACUGGGACUGAGACACGGCCCAGACUCCUACGGGAGGCAGCAGUGGGGAAUUUUGGACAAUGGGCGCAAGCCUGAUCCAGCAAUGCCGCGUGCGGGAAGAAGGCCUUCGGGUUGUAAACCGCUUUUGGCAGGAACGAAACGGUGUCCGCUAAUACCGGGCGCUAAUGACGGUACCUGCAGAAUAAGCACCGGCUAACUACGUG
rnacentral:rRNA from 1 species